rnacentral:misc_RNA from 1 species
CUUAUUUGUUUGCCACUGCCACUUGUAAACUAACUCCCACCAAUGGAAUAUAUAAUUUUUUUCUCUCUCAUUUACUAUUAUAAAAUUAAUAUAUUAAUACAUUUACUCUCUUGGGGAAGGCGUGAAAGACAAUCGCCUAAUGUCUAAUAGAUUCUGGAGGGAUUUGGCCAAAAAUAGAUACUUUUGUCCUUAUUUAGACGAAAACUUGUUUUUGAGCUUAUUUGGUCAUUAAUUGAAAGUACAAGGACUUAUUUGGAAAAUUUCCUUUAUCCAUCGGAGGUUUUCUGCCAGAACCUACAGUUUCACUAACUAUUGGAGGCUCUAAUGGAAAUUCACCAUAGUCCACUGCUCUGAACAUUUUUAAAAGAUUGUAUGUCUGAGUUGUAGUUUGUUUCAAGGAAUAGUUAUCUAGAGAUGUUUAUCUUCCAUGGUGAUUGAAUAUGAGUGUUGAAGGGAAUGGUCAAGUCUGCGGGUAGAAAGAGAAAUGGGGGAGAGAAAAAGAGAGAAGUAAAUAAUAAAAUAUUGAAUUUUUAUUAAUUAAAAUUUUUUUUGGCAAAUGUUAAAUUAGGAGAGAGAAAGUAUAUAUAUAUUUUAUGGCAGCAAAUUUUAUACUUUUGGCAGUAAAAAUAUUCGCUGCCAAAUCUAUAAAUUCUUAUAGUUAUCUUUUCCC